UCUACCAACAAUUCCAAUACCUGAUCUACAGACUUUUAUAACAAAUAAUAAAUUAAUAAUUAUCUAAAAAUGCAUAAAUAAAAAAUUCUUAAAUAAUAUUUAGAAAUUAAAUUUAACACUUACCAUUUUCAUUUGUUCCAUCGAUAUGUGAUGUUUAUCAAGACGAGUCAAUUCUCCGGCCAUUUAAAACAAAAUUUUUAAAAUUAUUUAAAAAAAUUUAAGAGAAAUUUAGAAAUUUUUACGGUUCAAAAACAUUUAAAACAAAAAAUUUUUAAAUUAUUUAAAAAAGGGAGUUAAGAGAAAUUUAAGAGGAACUUGAGAGCAAAUUAAGAUUAAAUAUGGAUUUGAGAGAAAUUUGGAAGGAAUUUGAGAGAAAAUUGAGAGGAAAUUUAGAGGAAAUUGAGAGGAAAUUUGAGAGAGGAUUAGUUUGUGAAAAAAAUGGGUGGGGGUAUUUAUAAUUUUUUUUUACUGUUGGGGGGGCAACGGUCAAAAAUUUAACCGUUGCACUGUUCACGCGCGGGGCAAGUCGCGGCCACGUCAGCGCGCUUUGCUGACGUGGCAACAAAUUGCGCGAGGCCUCGACUUGCUGGCGUCCCCUGACAUCGCGCUCACAUGGACGCGAUUUGUCGGAAAAUGGCCCAUUCCGGUAAAUAAUUAAAUACCAAACCCAUUUCGGUAAUUAAAAAAAGACUUUUUUUGUGUAAAUUGCCCUAAUUACACAACACAUCAUGUUUUUAAUACCAAUAUUAACAAUCAAAGAAAACGAAACAAAAUAAUAUAUAAAACAAUUUAAAGUAAAUAAUAGUUUAAAAUAAAUGAUUUAUAAGAAGAAUUCAAAAUAAAUAAUAAAAAUUUUCAAAUAAACAAAAUAUAAAUAACUAAAAAUAAAUAACAAUAAAACAAUUUAAAAUAAAUAAUAUAAAAAAUAACAUAUAAAACAGUUUUAAAAUAUAUAUAUAUAUAAAAAUUUGAAAGAUAUAUAUAAUAGUUUACAAUAAAUAAUAUAUAAAAAAAUUUAAAUAAAUAAUAUGUAAAACAACUUAAAAAUAAAUAAUAUAUAUAAAAACUUAAAAUAAAUGAUGAUAAAAGCGCAUUUUUUUAAAAUAAAUAAAUAAAUAAAUUAGAUGGACUGAGGACGAGAUUGAAAUCAAAUUAAAAUUCAGGGUAUAAAUUAAAAAUUAGAAAAAACCAAUAAAACAAAAAUAAAUGUUAAAAUAAACGCGCGAAGGAAGGACAGGGACCAAAUAUGAAAUUAUCCCAAUUCUUGGGACACGGACGCAAACUAAAUUGAAAACAGUUAAAAAAAUCCAGGGCAAAAAUUAUAAAUAAAAAGUGUCAAUAGGACUAAAUGAAAACAACCCAAAAAGGCGGAAGGACCGAAAGGGUAAAUAACUCAAUUAUCAAAAACACGCGAAUCUUCCUUACGGGUCGGGUCAGUGUGCAAGUCCGGCCUCAAAACGAUGUCGUUUUGGUGCCUGAGAGGCCUGCCCAAAACGACGUCAUUUUGGAUGCCUAAUUAAAUCAAUUUUUUUUGGAAAAAAAUCAUUUAACUCCUUGUUUAAAAAAAAAGAAACUUUAAAAACCUUUCAAACUCUCUCCCCUCUUUCUAGAAUUCGGCCAUGGCUCCGAUCACCGGACCACCGUGGCGAUCGCCGAUCGCCGGUGACAGCCGAUCGUCGGCGACAGCGCUACCUUCCACGGUGGCCAAAAAAUUAAAAAAGGUCAUUUUUUAGCUUUUCGACUCCUUGGGCCCAAAAAAUGUCAUUUUUCAUCGGAAACGACGAACCUCGGCCUCCACGACAGCGCAAAAUAAAAAAAAAGUAAAAUCUUCCCCCAUUUUUUACUGUUUUCAUUUGUUCUCUUUAAAAAAUAAAAAUAAAAAAAUAAAUAAAAAUGAAAAGAAAAAAAAUAAUAAGACCACCUUUAAAAGAUUUCUUUUUUCUUCUAUUUUUGAUUGCUUCGUAAAAAAAAUACAUCAUUGUUUUGUGGCUUUUAUAGCCGAAAAGAAAAAAGAAAAUACAAUACUCGUUUCUUUGCCUCUGUGUUUGCGUGUUUGUUUUGCAGGUACAAGGGUCGUACGCCAGCUAUGUACGGAGGUUGACGUGGCGGUACGGAGGCACGCGUGGGAAAGAUGCAACGACAGCAGCUAAAAAGAGUGGCUAGGGUUAGGUUUUUUUUCUAAAAAUGUUAAGAUAAUGGGCCACUUGGGCCGUCUAGGGUUUUUAGUGUUUGGGUUUGUAAAUUGGGCUUUUAGGUUUAAUGCAUAUUGGGCUACAUAUGUGGUAAAUGGACUAGGACAGUUGUUAUUUAUUUUUGUUUGGUUUUUGUCUGGCCCCCGACAAAUUGGGCCUCUUACAUGAUGAAUGGUGAUUAAAUAAUGUAAUGCUGAGGUAUGGUUAUAUGUAUGCCUGGAAUAUGUAUUAUAAGUCAAGAAUGUAUGUGUUAUAUGUCGGUGAAAUAAAAUGUUAGGCUUAAACUGUAGAAGGGCAUGAAGAGUUUGUGUCUGUUCACCGUGGUGGUAUUCAAAAGGGUCAGCCAGGAUUUUAAAUAAGAACCUUGAAUGGAAAGUCCAUGGUCAUGGCACCCUUUGUAAGGGACUAAAGGAUGGUUAUAGCCCAAUUCAUUUUUUCUGCGUGUCCCAGGAUCAUGAUAAGCAAAUCUCACGAAAUGUGAGUCUAGGCAAAUUCAUAUCACAAACACAUCAGGAAAGAAAAUGCCCUCACGGUGAACCCUAAACGAAUGCCUUUGUAGCGUAAUAUGAAAGGAAUGCCCUUGUAGCGCAAUAUGAAAAAGUAUCAUUCGUGACGAACUCUGAAAGAAAUGUCCUUAUGAUACGUCAAAAUAAAGUUCUCAGUGACAUACCAAAAAGAAUGUUCUUAUGGCAGGUUUUAUAAUAAAUCGAUUAGGCGCAUUCAACAUGACCCUUAAGUGAAAUCAAUAAGAUCAGAAAGGUUUCAUGUCUCUAUGGUUAAUACAAUAAAAAAGAGUUACAUAAGGCUAUGACUCGUCUAAAAAUAAAAAUGUAAAAUUUGUAUGUUCGAAAGAGGUAUCUGUCGUCUGUGCACACGUUCUUUUAAAUUGUGAUGAUUUGAUGGCUUAGAAGUAAGUUUGCAAGCGUAAUGUUAUUACUGAUUGUAUUGAUCUCUGAAAAGAAAAUGAAUAAAGAUUUAUGAUUGUUUUGAUUGAACUAAAUGAUGUAUUGAAUACUUCGAUAAGAGGAAGUGAUUUCAGAGUAACGUAUGAUAUCUAAAUAUGGAAACAAAACUUGAGGAAGUAUCAGAGACAAAGUUAAAAGUUUAAAGAUGAUAGGAUCAUCUAUCUAAACUAUCAAUUGCAAUGUGCAAAUAUGACUCAUGUAAAUGAGGUUUUCCUCACUAAAUUCUUAUAAACUUAUCUCUGGGUGUUAUGUUACAAGAGAGAUGAUGUAAGUCUGCGUUAAGAGGGACGAUGUUAGGACUAUGCCAAGAAGUGACAUAUCGGGUUAUUGUGCAUACAGAGCAAGAUUGGCGACGUGUUCCAGGACUGAAUUAUUACUUAGAAGUCCCUACUUAGGGCAUCUUUAUUGUAUUAGAGUUUCAAAUUAAAUAUUGUUGUAUUUUAAUUACCACGUGUUGUAAUUAUAUUUACUUCUUGUCCAUGUUUAUCUAUUCAAAUUAGAAAUUUUGUAAUUAAGUAACAUAAUUGAUUGUAAUUUGUAAAAGUAGAUUGAGUUUUUAUUUGUAUUAACGUGAUAAUACCUAAGAUCCGGAUUCAACCAAUCAAAUCGAGUCGAGGGUGUUACAAUGUUAGUAUAAAUGACUUAAUUUAUUAGUAGUUAAAGUUGAAUAUGUAACUUAAUUAAAUUAAAUAUUUAUGACUUAUCUAUCUAUAAUAUAAAAAAGUAUGAAUUUUAAAAAACUUUUGAUUAGUAGUUAAAGUUGAAUUUUUUCAAGUCAUUAAGUGAUAAAUUUUAACUAAAAAUCAAAGUUUGAUGAAAAUUUUUUUUAAAAAAAAUUCAAAGUUUAUUGGUAAAAUUCAAUCACAUUAAUAAUUGAAUGGCAAAUUUACACAAUUUCAAAAUAUAAUGGCAAAAAUUAAAGAAAACAAAAUAUAGCCUAUUAUAUAUAAGUGCUUUCAUUGAAGAUGUAAAAUCGUUAAAAGAUGAUUUCCAUACCUGUUUGUUCUCCCACACAACAAGGGAGAGGAACGACCAAGCGCAUGUUUUAGUAACGGAGGAUUAAAACGAAGGGAGCAAGCUUACCUGGUAGGGGAAGUGCCGGAGUUCGCGGUGGGAAAAAUGGAGGAGGAUAGAAGAUCGGACGGCCAACGAGGUUAACUAACUCAAGAAAUGGCCAAAAGGGUCCACUCCGAGGAAAGGCGAUAGAUCUUUUGAGAGGAAAAAGGAAACGGAAGGGUGAAAUUUUGGAAGAGUGAGAAGAGGGUCCCCUCUGAUCAACUGGGUUGCAAUCUGGGGACGGUUAAGGUCCUAAGAAAGCCAACGGACCACUUUUAUUUCCACUUUGUUUAAUUUAUUGUUUAUUUGCAAUUCUUUUGUUAUCUUGCUGUUGCUUAGUUCUUUUCAAACUAGGGUUAUAAACUUCAAUUCCUUUAAAGUAUAAUGUCAAAUAAAUUUUUAAUAUAUAUUCCACACUUAUAAAAUUUAAUAAUAAAAAUUUAUCAUUUAACUUUUUGCAAUUUAUCAAACACAAUCUAAAUCUAAAUCAUCAUUUUAUAAUUACAUUUACUAUUUAAUUUUUUUAUUAAAC
rnacentral:lncRNA from 1 species